rnacentral:rRNA from 1 species
UACGUAGGGUACAAGCGUUGUCCGGAAUUAUUGGGCGUAAAGAGCUCGUAGGCGGUUUGUCGCGUCGAAUGUGAAAACCCGGGGCUCAACCCCGGGCCUGCAUUCGAUACGGGCAGACUAGAGUUCGGUAGGGGAGUCUGGAAUUCCUGGUGUAGCGGUGAAAUGCGCAGAUAUCAGGAGGAACACCGGUGGCGAAGGCGGGACUCUGGGCCGAUACUGACGCUGAGGAGCGAAAGCGUGGGGAGCAAACAGG